GACGAACGCUGGCGGCGUGCUUAACACAUGCAAGUCGAACGGAAAGGCCCUGCUUUUGUGGGGUGCUCGAGUGGCGAACGGGUGAGUAACACGUGAGUAACCUGCUCUUGACUUUGGGAUAACUUCAGGUAACUGGGGCUAAUACCGGAUAGGAGCUCCUGCUGCAUGGUGGGGGUUGGAAAGUUUCGGCGGUCGGGGAUGGACUCGCGGCUUAUCAGCUUGUUGGUGGGGUAGUGGCUUACCAAGGCUUUGACGGGUAGCCGGCCUGAGAGGGUGACCGGCCACAUUGGGACUGAGGUACGGCCCAGACUCCAACGGGAGGCAGCAGUGGGGAAUAUUGCCCAAUGGGCGGACGCCUGAUGCAGCGGCGCCGCGUGCGGGAUGACGGCCUUCUGGUUGUAAACCGCUUUCGCCUGUGACGAAGCGUGAGUGACGGUAAUGGGUAAAGAAGCACCGGCUAACUACGUG
rnacentral:rRNA from 1 species